UUUUAGAAAAGCCAGAGAUGAGGUCUUGAUUUUACUAUCAAUAGAAUUCUAUAUUUUAGGCCCUUGAAAUCUAAUAUUAAACAUACCAUAAUUUGUUCUUGGUUUAGGAAGAGAAUAAGAUUGGUUAGAUGAUAACCUUGUAUUAUAAUAAUGUAAUUGGUCAACAGGCACAAAAAAGAGGUUAAAUGUAGAAGGCAGGAGAGAGUUGUGAAACUUAAACAUAAGAACAGCAGUGCAAAUAUUGACUAGAUCUUGUAAUUUGAUGAGAUUUAAAUAUUUACAGAGAGGACUACUAUGGUCACAGUAGGAUGAGAAUGUGAUGAUUCGUAUGGCACGUUUUUGUAGUACAAUUAAAGGAUUUAUAACUGUUUUGUAAGUACGCCCCCAUGCAAUUAAAGAGUAGGUAAAGCAAGGAUAAACUAGAGCAUAAUAUAAGCUAACAAGAGUUGCUUGAUCAACAAAAUAUCUUACUUUAGAAAGCAGUCCAACAUUUUUUAAAAUCUUUUUCGUUAAAUAAUUAACAUGUUCUUUCCA